UACGAAGGGGGCUAGCGUUGUUCGGAAUUACUGGGCGUAAAGGGCGCGUAGGCGGCCGAUUAAGUUAGAUGUGAAAGUCCUGGGCUCAACCCGGGGACUGCAUUUAAUACUGGUUGGCUUGAAUUCGGGAGAGGAUAGCGGAAUUCCCAGUGUAGAGGUGAAAUUCGUAGAUAUUGGGAAGAACACCGGUGGCGAAGGCGGCUAUCUGGACCGACAUUGACGCUGAGGCGCGAAAGCGUGGGGAGCAAACAGG
rnacentral:rRNA from 1 species